rnacentral:tRNA from 1 species
GCCUGGAUGGCUCAGUCAGUUGAACAUAUGACUUUGGCUCAGGUCAGGAUCUCAUGGUUUGUGGGUUCGAGCCCCAUCUCAGGCU